AAACACACAUAUCCACACACGUGUGCGUACCGAUCUCUUUACCCUUAUUCACAUUAUGCACGUCCUGAUGCACGAACUAAACUGCAGGUGCCAGGAUAGGAUGAGGUCAUGUUUGCCGAAGCGUCUCUGUACGUAAAAACGUGUACAGAGUAAAAUCUGAGCGGACGUGUUUUGUAAUGGCGACACAUUCAUGCUAUAGUAAACGCAUCCUGGUAAUCCGCUUCAUCGAGUGCCGUACUUCUACUCCAAGAAAUAAGUUCGUCUGUAAUAGCUGAAGUGGUAAUAUGUUUUCAGGGCAAGAUGCCGGUCCUCCGGGCCAGUGGGAAACCAAGCAAAUUCUAAAGUGGAUGCAGGGAGACGACGAAUGCAGGGAGGAAAUCAAAAAUCGGAUCAUGAAUGUCAUACGAACGAACGAUUUGGACGGGCACACGUUGAAGCAACUGGCCGCCGAAAAAGAUGAAAUACAAGAUCUUUUUCCCGCGCUCAAAGAUAGACUUGCCUUUAAGUCAUUACUACGGAAACUCUUCAAGGAAGGAAAGCCAGUGUUGUGGGCAGAGUCAUCUACCACUCAGAAACAGCCGCCGUUGUCCCAGCUAAAUACAAGCCCAUCAAGCUCACAUAGGGGUCACCAGUUCACUGCUGGCCCACCUCAUUUUCCUGACGUAAAUCCUGGGCCUACUCAUUUCCUUCGCAAGGACAGUUUCCUAGUUAAUACAUGUACUACGCAGCGCUUGGCUGUACUGGAUGUGAACCAUCGACCGGCGGAGAAUAGGCCAGGGAUGACCAUGCAUUUCAGUACAGUCACGCCGUCAGAAGUACCAUCGGUGCAUAAGUCAAACGAGUUCGAACCAAUCAACACUACGGCACCAAUUCCUUACGAAAUGCAACAAACUGUGCAUUCAAGCAAGCACGCCAAUACAACCACGCCAAUUUACUGUCACCCCACAAAAACUGGGCUUGGCUCUGAUCAGCCUGAAAAGCACUCGGUUAGCCAAACUACGACCCUGACACCUGUCACGCUAUCUGCCAUACCAUCCCUCUGUCAGCCUGCUAAUCAGACUGACUUAUUAGUCUCAAACGCGACACAGCCAUCUCCAGGACCACAGAUAUCAUCCGUCACAUCAUACGCGGUCAGAGACAAAACCACAAAGAAUCUGCUCUCCAUUCACAACCCAAGCACUAAUCGGACACCGCAUGAUCUGACAGUACAAACAGCCUCAACAGAUCCACUGGCAUCCAUGUUGACUCACCACGCAAGGAGCAUAAACUACCCAGCACCCCUCCCUAGAUUUCCAUUUGACCUGGAUAAGACGUUGAGGUCAUGUGCGGGAGGCGUGGCUAUGUCUGUGCGUAGGAGGGUCAUUCGAGAAUCCGCUCGUUUUUAUGUCAGCAUCACCAAGGGACGAAAGAUUAGUUCCAGUGAUUAUGUCAACAUUGGACGUACAAUAAUUGGAAAAUACCCUGGGCUUGCUUAUGAAGAUGACUAUAUACCAUGGGUAUUAUGACAAACUUCCCAAUUUUGGUUUGGUUUUCCUUUGUUAGCCUGUAGGCCUAUACUGAAUGUUUUCAAUUCCAUUACAGUUUGAUACGGAGGGUGACGACUGAGAAAGAACGAGCUUCGACUUUUGAUGAAUAACACCUCAUACAUGCACUUGUGACAUUUACAUAUUAUUUACUGGGGACAAAAUAACAUGUUUGAAACAAACAAACAAACAAACAAACAAACACCCCAACAAACAAACAACCCAACAACCAACAAACAAGCAAACAAACAAAGUUUUUAAUUUAAAUUUUGUUUUAUCGAAGUCUUUCCAAAUGAAACUAGAAGCCACUCGAGCUUAGACUUGGAGUAUACUGAAAAGAAGGGGGAAAUAAGCAAAUAAUUGAACAUUAUUAAUGACAGUGCGUUGCCAUUCGAGUAGGGCCAACUGCGAUCAGAUGAGCUGGAUUUAAUUACAGUAAUAUUUAUGUGAGAUACUGGCUAACGAUCCCUCGGUCAGAGAAUGUGGGCUGGUGAAAAUGUAUACAAAUAAAGGCGGUGAAAUUUUACAUUCAACAAGCGCUUAAGCCAAUCCAUCCGGAACCUCCGUCGACGUCUCAAACAAACCAACGACAAGUCGAUGUACGACUAUCUGGACUCUAUGGAGGGUCCCCUGCCUGUCCAAGUCAUCGCGUUGGAUGACGGAGAGGACUCUGAGGAUGGCAAGGGUGUGGACGAUGUGAUUGAAGACGAAGGGGGAUACGGAGAAGGGGAGAUUAUUCUCAUCAAAGAUGAGACACAAGCAUGACUCAAGACAAGUAGCUAUGAAGAAGUGCUUAAUUUGUAAUUUUUUUUCACUCAACUGUUAAAAAUGGUUCUGGGCGUCAGUCACUGCACCAACCAGAACUACUGUCAUCCACGCCGCUUGACAAGCAGUCACGCCUUUGCUCGUCGCACAGCAUCACAUGUCAUUUCCGUAGCUAGGGCAUUUCCCAAGGAGCAACCAUUUUCACAAACAGCUUUAUCUGUCCUUGGUUGCUGGCAAUUAUCACUGCUAAGUCGUUGCGCCUUUUUACCUAUGUUUGUACAUGUACAGAGGAUAUGCCGGCAGCAUUUCUUCCGCAGGGAUACCCAUGAGUAGACCUUUUCUUUAAAGUCCCCCUAACAAACGCACUGACAGGGGAAAUGACUGUCGUGCAUAAGCUCUAUAUUCACGCUGCUGAUACCAAUUAACCAUUCUGUAGUAGUAGGGAACGGUAUUUUCCAGACAAGACAUUCCUUCCCAUUCUCAGGCCAGGAGGAACCAGCAGGGGCCUUCCCCAAUCUAAGGAAUUCCCCCAAAUGCUUGCGGCCGCACACAAAAUUUAGACACAACUUACGGGACAAAAGGGACUUUCCAAAACUCGUGACCUAAAAGGGACUUGCCCCUUUUCACGAGACCUUUGACCUUCAAAACCUAAAAAAGGAACUGUUCCGCUAACUCAUGACUUCCUCGUGAUUCCCAAACACAAAAGCGGAAUCCCGCCCCCCCGACUUUCCACUUUCGGAAAAAGUAGCUCUACACCGAACGCUCCGAGAAAAAAUGAAAUAAAUUUUUAAAAUGUAUAUAUAAAUAGAGAUAUGAAUAGAGAAACCAACCCGCAACGCUGCCCUGUCUUAGCGGUCUUUAGGCGAGUGAAAAAAUCGUUUCUAGCUGACUUUGUCAAACGAUAUAACAUUACAUUACCGCCACCCGCUAAAAAAAGUCAUUCAAAGCCCGAGCUCAUGAAAGCGAUUCAAGAGAGUCAAUGGCAAUUUAGAAAUCUCACGAGACAAUCAUAUCGUCAGCUUUUAAAAAUAGCGCAAGACAACAACAUAGAAUAUACGGCCUCGGGGACAAAAGGAAAAAUAUUGCGAACAGACUUGGUCACCGCGAUUAAAGCAUACAUUAAGCCGCAGGCAAUUGAAGAAGUAGACAUUUGAAGAAUUAGGCAAUUUAGAGGCAACUAUAGAGAUUGGGAACUGAUACGUAAUUUCUUUGCCGACGACUUGAUUCACUUUUUUGAUUUUUACAAAAAGUACAUCGAAGACAAAGCACUAGCCGAGUUUAAAGAAAUCGGUUCAUACAAGUUACAAACGGGAAUAAAUGUUCAAUUCAAAAUGGAAAAGCCCGGAAUCGAGACUAAACUCGGCGUUUUACAUUUACUAGUAAAAACAACGCGGUCUUUUUUCUAAACAAACAAUUAAAGAAUCGUUAAACCAGCAAAUUGCAAAACGUCUAGAGGACGCGGAAGCUCAUGAACAGAGAGGAUCUGGCUGGAUGUUUGCUAAAGUAGUCGCGUUUUACAUAAACGUGGUUAAAUAUAAUCCAGUCAGGGCUACUUACAUUCCGUGGCCAAAAUAUUUGGCAGUAAAAACUGCAAUGAUCAACGUUCAAAACAAAGAAGAUUAAGAAUGUAUUCGCUGGGCGUUGAGAGCUGCUUUGAAGUUAUAUUCAGAUUACGUAAAGCAUCAGUUGGAAAUCAAUCCAGAUUAUAAAAUACACGAGGAGCGCACCUCGACUUACACGACAGCUGACGACUUAAAUUUCGCAAAUGUAUACUUUCCAACAACCGUGUAACAAAUUCCACGCAUCGAAUCGCAGAAUAACUUGGCAAUUAACAUAUUGGUUAUACAGAGAAAGAAGGCACUUACGUGCUUUACAAAACUAAACGCGCUGACGAGCCAAUUAAUUUACUGUAUUUUACUAAAGGCGAAACGAGUCAUUAUUGCUGGAUCAAGAGCUUUUCUCAAUUAAUGUGCGACGCUACUGAACACACAGCGAAAUUACACUGGUGUUUCAAAUGGCUGUCUCACUUUCAAACGCAAGAAAGACUAGACAGGCACCAUAUAGACUGUAAAGGGAUUAACACAGCAGCGUGUAAAGUGGAACUACCAGCCAAAGGCAAAAUAUUCUCAAACUUGAAAACUAUAAAAACAAGCAGGAUGCCCCCCUUCGUAAUCUACGCAGAUUUCGAAUUUGUUUUGGAGCGUUUGCCACCAAAAGAAUUAAACACGGUUAAAACACAAGUUCAUAAACCAUUCGGGUAUUCAUAUGCAGUUGUCAGAUGUGACGGCAUUUGUACCAGUCGCGAGACCUACAGAGGCCCCGACGCGGCCUUUACAUUUGUAGAAUCGUUGUCUAGAGAGGUCGCCGAGAUCUAGUCUGGUCGCACGAGUUGCAAAAGAUCUACGAAAACUGUAACGCUACUGGAUCUGCGAAAGACGCAUCGUUUCAACCAAAGAAUCACAAUGCCGGUGUCAAGUCCCGGAUGAGCCGAAACCAAAGAGCGAAAAAGCCGCUUUUAGUUCAGUAAACGAACGAGGUUUCAGAGACUACAUUUGUAUGACUUGUGAAAAGCCCAUCAAUAAAUUUUGCAAUUGUAAUGUCAAGUUACGAGUAGUGCCUGGUCAAACAUGUGUUUCCGUAGUGCUGCACAACUUGGAAAAAUACGACGCGCAUUUAAUUAUGCAGGGUGCUCAAGCGUUUGACGACAGUAAAAUUAAAGUCAUCGCCAAAAACACCGAAAAUUAUACCUCGUUUAGCUUUGAUCAACUCAGGUUCCUAGACUCGUUUCAUUUCAUGGCAGCCUCACUCAAUCGAUUGGAUUAAAAAUUGUUUGCUCAAAGAUAUCCGCCUGCUCUUUGACGGGUUUCCAGAAAACAGGGGUUUACUUUUAGGAAAGGAAAUUUACCCAUACGAGUAUAUCGACUCGUUUGAUAGAUUUGAACAGACAAGCCUGCCUCCUCGAGCUGCUUUUUAUAGCUCGUUGAGGCAGCAGUCCGUUGCAGAAUGAGACUACACAAGGGCUCAAAAUGUGUGGCAAGCUUUCGGUUGUCAAAAUAUCGGGAUUAUCACGAUUUAAACGUCGAGACAGACGUAUUGUUACUAGCAGGCGUAUUUGAAAACGUUCGCCAAGUUUGCAAAAACCAUUACGGUUUGGACCCGGCCAAUUAUUAUAAUUCGACUGGAUAAUCGUGGGAUGCAUUUUUAAAGCACUCUGGCAUCGAAUUGGAGCUUUUGACCAACUUUGAAAAGCACCUGUUUUUCGAAAGGGCCAAAAGAGGCGGCAUUUCGAGCGUAGAGGCUAAGCGCUAUGCCAAAGCAAUAAUCCCGAAUUAAAAGACUACGAUCCAAAUAAGCCAACGUCACAUAUAAUGUAUUUGGACGCGAAUAAUUUAAACAGCUGGGCUCUGAUGAGUCGUUACCCUUUAAACUUUUUCGAUGGAUUCAAGACGUAACAAAAUUUACCCCAGAGUACAUUUCGAAAAUUUCCCCCAAAGCGUCUAAAGGCUACAUGCUAGAAGUGACUUUGGACUAUCCAAAACACUUACACGACAAACACAACGAUUUCCCACUGGCACCUGAAAACAUCUCGAUCCCCAACGACUGGUUCUCAGUGUAUCAAAAAGACUUGAUAGCCAACGGUGAGCGAGUUACUUCGAUAGGCAAGCUCGUAUCCACUUUGAGCACCAAACACAAAUACGUAGAGCACUAUCGCACGUCACAAAAAUAUCUGGAACUCGGUCUAGAAUUAAAACAAGUUCACCGAGCAAUGUCGUUAAACAGGCGCCUUGGAUGAAAAGUUAUAUCGAUAGAAAUACCGAGAUGCGUAAAUUAGCCAAGUCUGAUUUUGAAAAGGACUUUUUCAAAUUCAUGAAUAACUCGGUCUAAGGCAAGACGAUGGAAAAUGUGCGUUACCGCAUGGACGGGCAUUUACUGAGAGACCUUCACGACGCUGACAAAUACAAGAAGCUAACUCUUAAACCAAAUUAUAAAGCGACUACGCCGUUUAAGGAAUGUGAUCUUUCAUUUGUCGAAGUGUUUCGCAUAAAAACAAAGUUAAAUAAGCCAAUCUAUUGCGGUGUAAGCGUGCUAGACUUGUCCAAGACUUUAAUGUACGAUUUUAUUACAAUACGUUAAAAGCGGCUUUCGGUUCAAACGUCUGUUUAUUAUACACUGACACGGACAGCCUGCUCGUUCAAAAGUACGUGCGCAAAAAGCGCAAGUUGUUUGACUUAAGCAAUUAUCCAACGGAUCACCGGCAAGAUGAAAGACGAAUUUGGAGGUGAACUGAUAUCAGAAGCAAUCUGCAUUAGGCCAAAAAUGUAUUCGAUUUUAACCGAGCACCAAAAUUUGAAAAAGGCUUAAAGAGUUACAAAAAUCGUAACGCAAAAACGGUUGUCGUACGAACACCGUAUUUGAAAAAAUGCAGCAUUUUAAUAAACAGCAGCUUUUCAGGUCUGAUUAGCAUCUGCUAUUCACGGUGUCGCAAAAAAUAAAAGUCUUUCGGCCCUUGGACACAAAGCGUUAUGUAUUACCAGACGAAAUUGGCACUUUAGCUUAUGGACAUUAUCAAGCCUUUCAAGCCGGCAGUAAUUCGGUGUCUUCGGGUAUCACUUGAAGUUCCUCUCUCACGAAACUUCGCUUUGGACCGUCUAAUAAGUAGGACCCGUUUUCACGCGCUUGCCAUUGACCCGUUUAAAUUGACUCUUGCGUUUCUCAAUUUGAUAAACGUUUACAGACCAGACUGGAUCGGUAGCCUUUUGACGGUACCGCCUUCUUGCUUGCCUGGAUAAGAUAAAUAUCUAACUAACACGUCUGGGGGAAGUUCUUUUUGGGUUUCCCUAAGAGGUGCUGCAGGCGUUUGUUUCACUCGAUUCAACUUGACGGCUUCUGCGGGUUCUUUGUCAAUUAACUGAGUUUUUUCCUUGUUAAGUGAUUUUAUUACUUGAGGCAGGCGUUUCACCCAUUCCACGUUUCUAACACCAACGUUUAACAUUUCUUGCGCGUAUUGAUUGCCAAAUAAACGCUCGGCUAAAGUGGGAUUAUUAAACCGUUUUACUAUUCCUUGCGAUUGCUGUACGCCGGGUUCACCCACUUGAAUUGCUACCCCGUGUUUUGUCAUCAACUUUUUAAAUUUGCCGUUAAAUUCCAAUCCAGCGUCUAUGAUAAACUUUGGCCAAGUCAGAGGCGACCUUUCGUAAAUUUGUAAAGGACAUCGAAGCUCUAACUCCUCAAGACCAGGAAAAGCUUUUUAAUUUAUACGAAGUACGCUUCGGGAAAGAAAUCGUCAUUACUUUGGGAAAUGCGAUUCUAAGUUUAUACACGCGUCUUUUAGGCAUUGCUGCACCCAUAGAAUUUUUAGGCUUCAACGUAGAUUUGAAAUCGGAAUAAGACCUAACCAAAGAUUUAAACGACUCAAUUAUAAGUCAAACGACGAGUCACUUCUUGAGCGAGCCUGUUACAAACAUGGAAUUUAUCUUUCACCCUUGGUAGCCACUUUAAUUACGACAAAAACAUUUAACCACCAAUAAAAUCAGUGUAUUAUAAAAUAAGAUGUCAACAGAACUACAGCAAACGACAGCACCGACUCCUGCCCUGAGUCCGGUAAAAAGCCAGGUACAGACGGUAACCAAAGUUAAAAAUCUAAAGCGAGUAGAACAGGGGAAACGCCUAGCCGAACACAAUAAAAAGAUGAAACAGCAACUGGCCAAGAUGAUAUUAGGCGAGUCCGAAGCCGAAAUAAACUCGGAAAAUAAAAUUUAUAAAACCGUUUCGGAAAAUAGAGAUUCAAUUUUAGGCGGCUUGGCAGUUGGGACACUUGCAUUAUUUUUCAUUUAAAAAAAACAAGUCAACGCCUGCAAAAGCUCAAAUGACUCAAGCAACAUCAAAAGUUCAAACGACUGUACCAGCACCCGAAAUUUAAGACUAAGAAAUUUUAGACAUGGAAUAAAUUUUUAAAAUUAAGUUUAAAAAACCUAUAUAUUAAGAAUGAGUAACGCUAAAGCUAUAGACGUAAAUGGCAUCGCCAAUACGGUUUACCACGGCGCCAUAGUCAGCCUAAUCUCCAUGGGUUAUGCCAUGCUGAGCAAUAAGCUAUUUAAAAUUAAACCGCCAGAUUUAAAUAAAUUAUCGGUCGAAGACGCGAUUAAAUUCACGGCAGUGUCAAGCGGUGCAUUAUAUAGCCACGCAGGGCUGGCUCGUAUCGCAGGGCAUCUUGCCGGCGAGUUUACCCACCACUUAAAGUCAAAAUAAUAACCGGUUUAUUUUAAAGUAAAAGUAUUAUGAUGGCAGAAGGCGGAUUUGACACAGUAGAAAUUCAAACUGUUAGACAGGAAAAGCAAAUCAAGACGAUUCGCAAGACCUGGCCUUAUUUAAUACAACGCAAACGGAAACGCCGUUUUGAAGAAGAGGGGUUAUCUUUACCGUUGCUCCAGAUGUACCUUUUACUGUUGCUCCAGAUGAGGAACGAGAGACUUUUGAAACUUUAGAUAUUGAAAAUCGAUACGAUAAAUUAGUUAAAGAUGUAGACCCCCUACGCGAAACAGACCUUGCAAGACAAGUCAGGCUAAUGGAACUUAAACGGUUGUUUGUUGAAGAUUAAGUGGAUGAUUUCUAUGACGCUAUUGAAAAAGAAACUGGUUACGAGCCGUUAAAUAGAGAUCCAAAAAUAUUUAAUCUACUUUAAAGAUCGUCUGUACGUCAAGUGUGAAGGUAAAAAGUUCUCCUUACGUAUGAAAAAGACAAUAGUCGAUUUCUUAGUCUAGAGACAAUCAGGAAUAAAACAAACGUAGAUUUCAUAAGACGUGCCUUAGGUUUCCAAGACUACGUAACCGAUAAAACAAAAGCAGAAAAGAAGAAAUUGGUCGAAAACUCGCGCAAUUGCACCCCAAAGGCAUAGAAUUAAUAGAACUACCCCAAGAAGCCGAAGGCGCCAAAUAUAAAUCAGGCGAGACUACAAAAUUUAAAGGCGUUUUUGCAUAUUGUAACAAAUCUUGAGAUUGGUUAAUCGAUUGUUCCAGGUCAGGCUCCGAGUUUAUUAAAGACUCUACUAUGGUAAUAAACUACCUUUGAGCGUCUUAUCCGGUAUCAUGGGUUAAAGCGCAGUUCUUUGUUUGAGCCUGAGCUCCAAGUAACGCGUAAAACGUAAGCUCGAAUCGACUCGUUUACCUUUGUUAUUCCCACGCCUGUCAAGCUUGAUUUCUUUGGUAUAAAAUCCCACCAAGCCAACGUGACUGUGUCCGACAGCGAAAUCCAAUUUACGGUGUAAGUACUCGCAUGACCAGAGCCUUUAGGCGGUUUAGCCCUACCAAGACCCAUGUAAGUGGAUCCUGCAUAUUUGCCAUUUGUCACAUGUAAGUCGUGCGCGUCGUAAUUUACCGGAAACCGGUAUUAUAAGCGUCGUCGUAAUAAUAAGCCGUGCCUAGUCCGUUUGAUACGUUGUCCCUCGUUUGUUUAAAAGAUUGAUUUUGAUAAUAGACAAGUGUCUAUAAAUUUGCGAUGAUUUUAAUUGUCGUCACUCGGAAUUGCCUUCCCGUAAAAUCUGUCCACGAAUUUCUUCAAUCUUUUGAAGCAGGUAAAUUUUUGUCGCGUUUGAUUCGGUUUGAUACCCAGUUAAAUCUGGAUACAUAUUUGGCUGAUUAUCUGUCGUCAUCUUUUAAAAUAUACGUGUUUUUAAAAUGUCUUCCUCGGCACGGUUAAAUAGUCUAACUGUAGUAAAAUUGUGCCGUCUUUGUUGUUUAUCAAUUCUUGUCGCCUUGUUUCUCAACAAAAAAAUGUAAUCUCGUUUUCUGACCGUUUAAAACUGACUUGGCGCUUUCACUCGGGUCUGAUGUGGUGCACAAUACAUACGAGGGCUGUUCGUUGAAGAAAUUAAAGUGAUUGUUUAUUUCACGGCAGUGUAUCCAAAGUUCGUCAAAGGGAUUUAUAUUUAUCUUUCCCUUGUAAAUCACGUUUUGCACGAGUCUACCUUUCGGCAGGUUUAAAAGCUUGCCGACUUUUACUCAACUUUAAUCUGAGUUUUAAAUCCGUUAUCAUAAAUGUCACCAAGUUUGACUUUUCGUGAAGUUUAAAACUCACGCCGGGAAAUGGGUUUAAAAUAAAAUCAAACUAAUCCACAUUGUAAAAUCCGGGUGGAAUGACUACACUUCCUUGUUCUCCAGCGUUCACAAAAUCUGCGGCGUUUCUCAUUUGUGCAGACGAUGCAUCACUGCAGCGUUUGAACCAGAGGCCGUAACUAAAAGUGUGGGCCUGGGUUCGGUUUGAACGGCUCUGAUGUGCCUAGUUCUGUCUUCGGUGUUGUCGCCUAAAAAUCCCUCUUGAAUAAAUAUUAAAGCGAUGCGACUGGCUUGUUCAUAAAUAUCAAUUUAUGCUCUGGUUACAAGUAUAAGAUAAAUUAGCGCGUCGUCUUUCUCUUUAUCUGUUGCUUCGGCUGAUAUUUCUCCUCUUGAACGUUGAUUGGUUAAUGUUUGUUUUUGAUUGAUUGUUGAGAGUGUCUGUCUCUAAUUCUGAGAACGGCACUGUUAGUUCAAGCGCUUUUAUAACAUCUUUGUUGAUAGAUGAUACCUCUAGCGUUGGAGGCAGUCCACGCCUUUGUCUAACUCCUUCGGGCCCCCUUGCUGCAGGACGCCAUUCUCCUUGCGUUUCCCAUUCAAUUUCGGUCGACUUUGUAUUGUUAAAAUAACCCGGGCAGAAGCUUACUUUUCUGACUUUAAUCUUUUUAUCGCCUUUUAAAUUGUCGAUUUGAUUAUCUAAUUUAAACAUCUGCUCGCUUUCGGUCAAAUAAAAAGUGUCAGUCUCCAUUUAUAGUAAAAGGGUUUUUAAAAAUCUUGCUCGGCAAGUUGAAAUUUGUUAACGGCGUUGUCCCAGUGUUUCUCGGAGACUUGAAACAGGUCUUUUGCGGCUUUUGUGGGUUCUUUUGUCACGUCUUGGUAACAAACGGCAAUUAAAGCUCGUAGCGGCUUGCCUCUGGAAUUUUUGCCUGCUAAUAUGUUGUUUAAUUUAUAUUCGACGAGUCCCGCCUGUUCGGCGGUUAAACUCUAUGUCAAGUCCAUGAAGAAUGUUACUUGUUUUCCAUUUUGGCUUUUUAUAGUCGAAACGUUGAUUAUAUUUGCCGCCUAUGUUUUCUGCCUCGUCCAAAUAAAUGCGACAUGAUAUAGGUUUUCCCGGCUGAAUUAUUUAAAACAGCAUCCAAAUUCAUUGACCUUCGAGCGAUUUCUCGAAGCCUGUUACUCCCAUGGUUGAUUUUCGAAACUUUGCGCAUUCAGUUUUGUUUGUGGACGUUCAAUCUUGCACUUUCAAGGAUUCAGUUUAGUAACAGUAUCAUUCAAUGUCACGAUGCACAAGCGUCACUCAAUUUCGCCCUGGGUGACUGGGAGGUGGAUUCCUACACAAAUUUUACUUUCAUAUCCGUCAAUGGGCACUCAUAUUCGCAAUUUCAGCUUUUCAAAGUAUACGUAAACCCUAAGUAUUGAAGAAAAGAUAGAGUUUCUGUAUAAUUAUGAUACGUGUACAGUUCCAGAGACAUCUUGAUCGCUGGCGAUAUUUGCCCUGGAUCUUUAUUAUUCCCAACCUUUUCAUUUAACUUAUACUUGUAUACUUUUGUUCUGUUAAAUGCUUAUGGGGAUAAUAUCGUGUUGUUAUUUUUUUUUAAGUUGAAAAUUUCGGAUUACAUGAAACCAAUUUUGUUCUUUCUUUUUAUAAAUCUUCAAGCAGGAAAUAUACGAAUUAUAAGAUGACUGCUGAAAAGAUUGAGUAUUUGGUCAUUGUUUUAACAAUCAUUUUAACCAGAUAAGAAGAAUUUGAUCAUUUCUUUUUCUCGUUUUAAGCAGAAAUAAAGACGUACAUUAUAGACAAGAGGUUCUCCCACCAA